rnacentral:rRNA from 1 species
GACGAACGCUGGCGGCGUGCUUAACACAUGCAAGUCGAACGGAAAGGCCCUGCUUUUGUGGGGUGCUCGAGUGGCGAACGGGUGUGUAACACGUGAGUAACCUGCCCUUGACUUUGGGAUAACUUCAGGCAACCGGGGCUAAUACAGGCUAGGAGCUCCUGCAGCAUGGUGGGGGUCGGAAAGUUUCGGCGGUUGGGGAUGGACUCGGGGCUUAUCAGCUUGUUGGUGGGGUAGUGGCUUACCAAGGCUUUGACGGGUAGCCGGCCUGAGAGGUUGACCGGCCACAUUGGGACUGAGAUACGGCCCAGACUCCUACGUGAGGCAGCAGUGGGGAAUAUGGCACAAUGGGCGGAAGCCUGAUGCAGCAGCGCCGCGAGCGUGAUGACGUCCUUCGGGUGGUAAACCGCUUUCGCCUGUGACGAAGCGUGAGUGACGGUAAUGGGUGAAGAAGCACCGGCUAACUACGUG